UAUACUCACAGGCAAGGACGUUAUUCUAGGGAUUUUUGUGCAAGAAUUUUAUAUAGAUGCAGUAACUGCAACGUAACCUAUACUUUGGUUACUAUUUGAAGAAAUUUAUUAUUAAACAAAAAAUAGGAUAAUCGAAGUAAUCAAAUGUGAAGUUGAGAUUAUAUAAAACGUAGAAGAUAAAAAGAAUUUGACGGAAACACGAGGUAGAGGUGACAGAUUAAACGUAUAUAUACAGUGUAGGCGGGAAAAUUACAUGGAUCUGCUAGAGAUUAAUUUACCCAAAUUGUUUUCGUAUUUUCAUUUGUUGAGGUGUGUGCGUUUGACACGAUGGAGAACCCUAACGAUUCGACACGUUAAUACGCUCUUUCGUAGUAGGGUAAACCAGCGUUGUAUUCGCAAUACGGCAGCUGACCCAUCUUUGUUGUAAAAAUGCCAUUGCACGAUCCCUAUGUAAUUGCACUCUCGACGCGGUUUGUCAACAGGAAAAAUGUGAUUUACAGAAUACUUGGUGGAUAAUUUGAAGGGAAGUGUAAAUCCGGGAAAUCGGACAAGCGGAUAAAAUAAACGCUCGAGUGUUCAGCCGUUUAAAAGGCAAAAAUCCCUCGAAAUCCGAUGCUUCUGGCGAACGAAAGAGAUUAGAGGAGGGUUAAUAUCAAGCUCAAGACGUUGCUCGCUUAGGGGUGAACACUCCAUCCGAGGAUGCUCGAAAAUCAAAACCGGAGGGGAUCGUUUCGGCGUAUGUAUAUAUAUACAUACAUACAUAUAAAAGAAACUCAUUCGAACAUUUCAAAUU